rnacentral:piRNA from 1 species
UAGAGAGCUAAUGACCUUCCAUGUGGAA